GAUGAACGCUGGCGGCGUGCUUAACACAUGCAAGUCGAACGAUGAAGCCCAGCUUGCUGGGUGGAUUAGUGGCGAACGGGUGAGUAACACGUGAGUAACCUGCCCUUAACUCUGGGAUAAGCCUGGGAAACUGGGUCUAAUACCGGAUAGGAGCGUCCACCGCAUGGUGGGUGUUGGAAAGAUUUAUCGGUUUUGGAUGGACUCGCGGCCUAUCAGCUUGUUGGUGAGGUAAUGGCUCACCAAGGCGACGACGGGUAGCCGGCCUGAGAGGGUGACCGGCCACACUGGGACUGAGACACGGCCCAGACUCCUACGGGAGGCAGCAGUGGGGAAUAUUGCACAAUGGGCGCAAGCCUGAUGCAGUGACGCCGCGUGAGGGAUGACGGCCUUCGGGUUGUAAACCUCUUUCAGUAGGGAAGAAGCGAAAGUGACGGUACCUGCAGAAGAAGCACCGGCUAACUACGU
rnacentral:rRNA from 1 species